rnacentral:rRNA from 1 species
AGAGGAAGUAAAAGUCGUAACAAGGUCUCCGUUGGUGAACCAGCGGAGGGAUCAUUACCGAGUUUACAACUCCCAAACCCCUGUGAACAUACCUUAAUGUUGCCUCGGCGGAUCAGCCCGCGCCCCGUAAAACGGGACGGCCCGCCAGAGGACCCAAACUCUAAUGUUUCUUAUUGUAACUUCUGAGUAAAACAAACAAAUAAAUCAAAACUUUCAACAACGGAUCUCUUGGUUCUGGCAUCGAUGAAGAACGCAGCAAAAUGCGAUAAGUAAUGUGAAUUGCAGAAUUCAGUGAAUCAUCGAAUCUUUGAACGCACAUUGCGCCCGCUGGUAUUCCGGCGGGCAUGCCUGUUCGAGCGUCAUUUCAACCCUCAAGCCCCCGGGUUUGGUGUUGGGGAUCGGCUCUGCCUUCUGGCGGUGCCGCCCCCGAAAUACAUUGGCGGUCUCGCUGCAGCCUCCAUUGCGUAGUAGCUAACACCUCGCAACUGGAACGCGGCGCGGCCAUGCCGUAAAACCCCAACUUCUGAAUGUUGACCUCGGAUCAGGUAGGAAUACCCGCUGAACUUAAGCAUA